rnacentral:rRNA from 1 species
GAUGAACGCUAGCGGCAGGCUUAACACAUGCAAGUCGAGGGGCAGCACGGGUAGCAAUACCUGGUGGCGACCGGCGGAAGGGUGCGUAACGCGUGAGCAACAUACCCUAUACAGGGGAAUAAGCCAGGGAAACUUGGUCUAAUGCCCCAUAGCAAUAGAAUAAGGCAUCUUAUUUUAUUUAAAGCUUCGGUGGUAUAGGAUUGGCUCGCGUGACAUUAGCUGGAUGGUGAGGUAACGGCUCACCAUGGCGAUGAUGUCUAGGGGUUCUGAGAGGAAGGCCCCCCACACUGGGACUGAGACACGGCCCAGACUCCUACGGGAGGCAGCAGUGAGGAAUAUUGGACAAUGGAUGGAAAUCUGAUCCAGCCAUGCCGCGUGCAGGAAGACGGCCCUAUGGGUUGUAAACUGCUUUUCUACGUGAGCAAUAAGGUCUACGAGUAGACUGAUGAGAGUAGCGUAGGAAUAAGCAUCGGCUAACUCCGUGCCAGCAGCCGCGGUAAUACGGAGGAUGCGAGCGUUAUCCGGAUUUAUUGGGUUUAAAGGGUGCGUAGGCGGCUUUUUAAGUCAGCGGUGAAAUUUUGCAGCUUAACUGUAACAGUGCCGUUGAUACUGAGGAGCUAGGAUUUGGUUGCUGUGGGUGGAAUGUGUGGUGUAGCGGUGAAAUGCUUAGAGAUCACACAGAAUAUCGAUUGCGAAGGCAGCUCACAAAGCCAAGAUUGACGCUGAGGCACGAAAGUGUGGGGGAUCAAACAGGAUUAGAUACCCUGGUAGUCCACACUGUAAACGAUGAUAACUCGCUGUCGGCGAUACACAGUCGGUGGCCAAGCGAAAGCGAUAAGUUAUCCACCUGGGGAGUACGACCGCAAGGUUGAAACUCAAAGGACUGACGGGGGCCCGCACAAGCGGAGGACAUGUGGUUUAAUUCGAUGAUACGCGAGGAACCUUACCCG